rnacentral:lncRNA from 1 species
CAGACCCCCAGCAACUUCCUGAAUCCAGCUCUCCGCGUCCUGCCCUAAGGAACGGGCGCCUCCCAAAAAGGAAUCGUUAGUGGAAGUCCCACGUUUCGCUGGCGUUGGAAGGGGAAGUGCUUCGGUUUCAGGAUCUCACCUCACUGCCGGAACCUCCUUAAUUAUCAGAUGCAGCCCCGAAUCCUCCAACACGCUUCAGCCAACAGACUUGUCCUUCAGUAAUCACAGUAGCCUGUCGUCCAGCUGAAAGGUUCACAAGCACCCCGAGGACAAUGUUGAACACUUGUGAUCAUUGAGACAGCCAGUAUUUAUGGAGUGGUUGCUAUGAAACAGACAGGCACUUCGGGAGUCACAUGAGUUCCAGAAACUGUCGUUGUGCGAGAGGACGAGUCAACUGCAGAGUCCAGCGAUGCUCCUCGCCCUGUGGGGCGUGGGCCCGAGAGUGUGCAUUUCUUACCAGCUCCCAGGGACCCCGAGGGUGCUGGCUGCGGACCACGCUUUGAGUAGCGAGCGUGUGAACUAGCCUUCUUACGGCUUGAUGGGAAAUUAUGCUGGAAGUUUUGAGUGGGUCUUAAAAGAAGAAAGACAGUUUCUAAGGUGGACUUGUCCUACGAUGCAUGGAAGAUCGAAAGCAAAUACUUCAGUGGGGAAGAAAACACGAUGGUGACAGAUGGGUGGGCCCCGGGGUCCUGGUUAGGACCCAAGAUUCACCUCAGCUUUAAUCUCACCUCCCACACACCCUGCCCCACAGGCGCAUUCGCUGUGAUGCCGCGGCCGUCGGCUCUCUGCACCCGAGACUGAGGUUCAAGAACCACACGCUUCUUUAAAAAUUAUGUCUGAGUUUCUCUUAUGUAUUACACAGUACUCUGUCGAGGGGUUUAUGUUUCAAAAAUGACAUAAAAUAG